rnacentral:rRNA from 1 species
AACGAACGCUGGCGGCAUGCUAAUACAUGCAAGUCGAACGAGAUCUUCGGGUCUAGUGGCGCACGGGUGCGUAACGCGUGGGAAUCUACCCUUGGGUUCGGAAUAACAGUUGGAAACGACUGCUAAUACCGGAUGAUGACGAAAGUCCAAAGAUUUAUCGCCCAAGGAUGAGCCCGCGUAGGAUUAGCUAGUUGGUGAGGUAAAGGCUCACCAAGGCUACGAUCCUUAGCUGGUCUGAGAGGAUGAUCAGCCACACUGGGACUGAGACACGGCCCAGACUCCUACGGGAGGCAGCAGUAGGGAAUAUUGGACAAUGGGGGCAACCCUGAUCCAGCAAUGCCGCGUGAGUGAUGAAGGCCUUAGGGUUGUAAAGCUCUUUUACCCGAGAUGAUAAUGACAGUAUCGGGAGAAUAAGCUCCGGCUAACUCCGUGC